GUGUCAGCAGCCGCGGUAAUACGGAGGGUGCAAGCGUUAUCCGGAUUUACUGGGUUUAAAGGGUGUGUAGGCGGGUCUUUAAGUCAGUGGUGAAAUCUCCGAGCUUAACUUGGAAACUGCCAUUGAUACUAUUGAUCUUGAAUUCUGUUGAGGUGGGCGGAAUAUGUCAUGUAGCGGUGAAAUGCAUAGAUAUGACAUAGAACACCAAUUGCGAAGGCAGCUCACUAAGCAGAUAUUGACGCUGAGGCACGAAAGCGUGGGGAUCAAACAGGAUUAGAUACCCUGGUAGUCCACGCCCUAAACGAUGAUUACUCGACAUACGCGAUACACAGUGUGUGUCUGAGCGAAAGCAUUAAGUAAUCCACCUGGGAAGUACGACCGCAAGGUUGAA
rnacentral:rRNA from 1 species